GGUGGAGCGAUUUGUCUGGUUUAUUCCGAUAACGAACGAGACUCUAGCCUACUAAAUAGUGACUGGAUUGCUUGUGUCCAGAAUACUUCUUAGAGGGACAAGUGGUGUUCAGCCACACGAAAUUGAGCAAUAACAGGUCUGUGAUGCCCUUAGAUGUCCGGGGCUGCACGCGCGCUACACUGGAGAAAUCAGCGUGCUAUACCAUUGCCGAAAGACAUUGGUAAACCGAUCAAAAUUCUCCGUGAUCGGGAUCGGGAAUUGGAAUUAUUUCCCUUGAACGAGGAAUUCCCAGUAAGUGUGGGUCAUCAGCUCACGCUGAAUACGUCCCUGCCCUUUGUAC
rnacentral:rRNA from 1 species